AUCUUGAAGUGGGUCUCAGCUCAAAGUACUGAAGAUGAACAUUAUUGUUUGAAACUAGUCCACCAUUCAAGAGUUGGAAGAAUUCAAGGUGGAUGGAGUGCAAGAGGAAGAGGAAAUGAAAGAAAGAGGAGAAAUGGAUAAAGAGAGAUAAGGAUGGAAUGUUGGUGAUGUGUUGAGAUGAUAAUAUGAUGGUGUUGAAAAUCAGUCAGGAUACAUGCAGAGUCUCAAGGUCAUGUAAAACAUCCAGCAACUAACAUCUGUCGGUUCAUCAUUUUUUGACGUAGUUAGAAGUGAAACUGAGAUGGAAAUAAUGGAGAAGAAGAAGAAAAGAGAAAUAAUAGAAAAGGAAGUUGAAUUGUAAGAAGAAAUUGAAGACUUCUCUUCCUCUUAAACAUUUUAAUGACCUCUCCAACCCUUCCAUCUACUUACGAUGAAAAAUGAAGAGGAUGAAACGUCUCUUGAAGAAGUGACAAUAACAUUCAGACACAGUGAAAACGGUAACUCUCCAAUUUCAUCUACAGAUGAAAUCAAAACUGAUAACUCUCCAAUUUCAUCUACGGAUGAAAACAAAAACGGUCACUCUCCAAAUCUAUCUACAAAUGAAGCCCGUAUUUCUGUUGAUGCAAACCAAGAACCUACUAUACAUGAUAGUAGACUAUUCAGGCGGAGAAAACGAAGGAAUGAUGAUUUGGAUGAAGAAAUUCAAGAAUACUCGAAUGAGUUUACAAAUAUUCAGAUCGAAGGAGAUGAAGAUAUGGAGGAAAAGGAAGAAGGGAGAGGUGGAAAUCGAAUCUGGGCUUCUAUGAAAUCGGCGUUUUCGUGUUUCUAUGUUCAACAUAUCGAUAGUCAAAAGCACUUCUCUCAUCGGAUCUCAAGCGACAGAAUGCCGAAUUCGAUUAUGAGUGAUAAUGAAACUUAUUUCUCUGAGAAAUUUGUCUAUCGCCGGGAAGGAGAAGUUGUUAAACUUAUUUCUAUCAACGAAACUGUUUAUCAAAAGUUUCCUGAUGAGGUAUUCGGUAAUCACUCGUCGGAAAUGUUCUUCUGGCCCUUCCUCAUACCAUGGCAGGUCAUGAUGAUGACAAUUCUGGUUGUCACUUUUGAAAUUGUGUUUUUCAAUGUGUGCUUCGACUGGCGGUUCAUAUAUAUCCCAGUGGCGAACAGCUUCAGCCAAUACAUGGUUUUCUGGGGUGCUGCAGAUGAUCUAUCUCAUAGAUUUUCUGCUAACUUUGGUGAACAGACAGUGGAAUGAGUUUCAAAUAAAGCACACCAUUGUGCCCCGUAACCGAUACUAUAUUGCAAUAGAUUUGCUAGUACUGUUGCCAACAUUUAUGUGCUCCUAUCUGCUAGACAAGGAGAAAUUCUAUGUGCAUACCGUACAGAUUUUUGCUCUGCACAGGAUAUUCCUGUAUACACGCCAUAUGACAAGCACUCUAACAAUAAGUCGCUUCAUUAUUCUGUUCCUCUGCUUUAUGUUCAUUUGGAUGUUCAACAUAGCACUCAGCUCUUUAGCUUUUGGUUUCUCAUGCUUCCCCACAGAGGAAGAAAAUAAUUGGCUUUGCGGUAAAGGUUACUGGUAUAAAUCAUACUCAGCAUUGCACUACAUGGACAAACCAAAAACCGAAUUUGAGUUGUAUGCUCUAUCAAAACUGCACGCGUUGUUUCUGCUUCCUCCUCUUUGUGAAGCUGAAUAUUUCCAAUAUGGCGGCCCAGUGAUUAGAUGGAUGUAUAUUAUUGUGUUGAUCUCCAUCCUGCUCUUCUCCUACCUGUUUGUGGUUCCUCUCCUGUCAAGACGUAUUUUCAAGAACGAUUACAUGUGGAUAUCAUUCUCGAUGAUGCGAUAUAAAGUUAUUAAAAGUCUGACAGAAAUGAAGUUCACCGACAUCCCUACUGGCAAGGUGGAUCAAUUCUUCAGCUAUGCGUGGCGCAAACGUCGCGCACUCUUGGUUGAAGGCGGUGUCACACAGGUCGUGGCCCCUGAGUUGUGGUUGAGUGUGCACCAUGACAUCUACCAGCCUGCGUUUGCGCAUAGUCAGCUGUUUGCCGGGGAGGACCACUGCUACCUGCGAUCGCUCGCCUGUCGCAUGCAGAGUGUGCUGCUGAUGGAGGGUGACGUCAUACUUAGGAAACAGGAGUUGGCGGCUAGGAUGAUCUAUGUGGUCGAGGGCAGUAUUCAGAUUCUGACAACCGAAGACGAUACAACCCCUCAAAUGGUGCUGGGAGCUGGGACGGUGAUCGGCGAGACCUCUCUUUUAAUCAGCUACUUCUCCAAGUGCUACAUCUGCUGCCACUCCAUGACUUGCGAAAUUCAUGUGCUCGACAAAUUAGAUUUCAUUGAGAUAAGUUGCAGAUUCAAGCGCAACUUCCAAGAAGCGAUGAAAACGGUGAAACAGCGCUACCAAAACGCAAAGUUGCUGGAUCGACUGAACGGCAUGAUUAAAGCCAAAGUGAAGAAAUCGCUGCGACUCGAAGAGCAGCUGGUGACUUCGACCGAUUGGCUCAAAUUCAAGAUGCAGCUGAACCACGACUCGGAGGCUAGUGCUAAGAGUGAGGAAUACGCCAUCAGUGGACUCGAGAAUUGGUAUAUUCAUGCCAGUCACACGCUCAGCUUUCUAGGACAGCUUGCUGUGCCGCAGAUUGGAUCCGAAAGUGUCGCCGAUCCCGUUCUCCUGAAGCUCUCCUUCCCGUUCAUCUUCCAGCCCAACUCCCGGGUCCACCAGUUCUGGUACAAACUUAUCUUCCUGUCCGUCUGUUUCCUGGCCAUCUACCUGCCCUACUCCUUCAGUUUCUCCUGUUCCUACACGCCCUUCAUGCGCUACUACCCCGUCAUUUAUCUCAUCAUUUAUAUGCUCGACAUUCUUCUGCAGGUGUCCACCAGUGUCCAAACUAAACGCGGCAUGUCGAUUGAGAUAAGUGAGAUCAUUUAUCACCUCAUACAGCAGCCGUUGUUUGUCAUCGAUCUGGUGUCCACACUUCCGCUGUUUUUGUUCUCGUAUGUGAUCAUGGACGAGCAUGAAAACCUGAGGCCUUUAACACAGGUGAACCAGUUGUUCAAAAUCUACAUGAUAGAGUUGUUCCUGGAGCAGAAAUGGAUCAUACAAACCGAGUACCAAUUCUACUGGCGGAGAUUAAUCAAGAGAAGCGAAAAACCUGCCUAGUCGUCACCAUGGGUCAGUUUCAGAACGCGACGUAUUCUGCGCACUAUCACUCGAUCAAGAAGAAAUUUUUAGAACAUCGACAAUCGAAAAAACUCUUGAUCCGUUCUUUGGCGAGGAAUUCCAGUUCGGGGUGCCGCGGCGAUUCCGCUACCUGAGCAUCUACGUGUACGACCACGACAAGUCGGAUCGUAUCAUCGGCAAAGUGGCCAUCAAACGCGACGAGCUGCAGCUCUAUCACAACAAGGACCACUGGUUCCCCAUCCGGGCCGUCAAUCCUGACACGGAAGUGCAGGGCAAAGUGCACUUGGAAGUGAAGCUGGAGCACUGUUUGGAGACACUGUCUGAGCGGCUGUGCAUCGACGUGAAGGAGUGCAGCGACCUGACUCUGAGCAACGGCUGCUGCGACCCGUUCGCAUCGGUCGCCGUGCGGCUCACCAACGGCAAAGUGGAGACCCGCCGCACCAAAGUGCGCAAGAAAUCCAACUCGCCCGUCUUCGACGAGCUUAUCACCUUCGAG